rnacentral:tRNA from 1 species
GGUGGCUCAGUGGUACAGCACUUGCCUUGCAUGCCUGAGGCCCUGGGUUCGAUUCUCAGCACCA